GUAGGUGGCAAGCGUUGUCCGGGAAUUAUUGGGGCGUAAAGCGCGCGCAGGCGGUUCUUUAAGUCUGAUGUGAAAGCCCACGGGCUCAACCGUGGGAGGGUCAUUGGAAACUGGAGAACUUGAGUACAGAAGAGGAAAGCGGAAUUCCACGUGUAGCGGUGAAAUGCGUAGAGAUGUGGAGGAACACCAGUGGCGAAGGCGGCUCUCUGGUCUGUAACUGACGCUGAGGCGCGAAAGCGUGGGGAGCAAACAGGAUUAGAUACCCUGGUAGUCCACGCCGUAAACGAUGAGUGCUAAGUGUUAGGGGGUUUCCGCCCCUUAGUGCUGCAGCUAACGCAUUAAGCACUCCGCCUGGGGAGUACGGCCGCAAAGGCUGA
rnacentral:rRNA from 1 species